CUUUCAAACACUUGACUAGUUAUUAGCACCAUGAAGACAUUAUACAACACUUGGACAUCACACUACAUUGAAUGCGGGCCGAUAUAUUUUACGAUGGGCUUCGCAGCGUGGGUGAGAAUAAAAAUAAAACCCACCGUUGCGUGGGGCGCUGGUCUGAGGAGGAGUAGUCGGAGGAGAAGUCUACAGGUGCGGGUGAGUAGUUCGGCAAAAGUGCACUCCAAAAGCAUAGGCUUCUGAGCAGCCCCCGCCCAUUCCGUCACCGAUCA